GUAAAGCAAUAUGAAGCAGUAUGUAAGUUGAAGUGGUAUUGCUAUUUUCUCCAUUGCAGACAAAAAUGAUGGCUUUUUGUCGCCUUGCUGCCCCAUUGCUGUUGGCUGGGCUCUGCUGGGGGUGGGACUUCCCCUUCAGGAAUCCCACAUUGUCUUGGGAGGAACGAGUGGAUGAUCUGGUUAACAGGCUGACCCCUGAGGAGAUGAUCCUGCAGAUGGCGAGAGGUGGAGCUCUGGGAAAUGGACCAGCCCCACCUAUUGUUCGUUUGGGCAUUGGACCCUACAACUGGAACACUGAAUGUCUUCGUGGGGAUGCAGAGGCUCUGGGCUGGGCGACAUCUUUUCCUCAAGCACUCGGCUUGGCUGCCUCUUUCAGUCCUCAACUCAUCUUCGAAGUGGCCAACGCUACGGCCACUGAGGUUCGCGCCAAGCACAACUAUUUUGACUCCAUAGGCUACUACAAGGACCAUACCGGCUUAAGCUGCUUCAGCCCAGUCUUGAACAUCAUGCGGCACCCACUGUGGGGCAGGAACCAGGAGACUUAUGGGGAGGACCCAUUCUUGACCACCCAACUGGGAAUUGCAUUUGUGAAGGGACUUCAGGGUGACCAUCCCCGUUACAUCAAAGCUAAUGCUGGCUGCAAGCAUUUUGAUGUCCAUGGAGGUCCUGAGAAUAUCCCUGUAUCCCGGUUUGUCUUUGACGCCAAGGUGGAGGAACGUGAUUGGCGCAUGACUUUCCUG
rnacentral:lncRNA from 1 species